UACGUAGGGUGCGAGCGUUGUCCGGAUUUAUUGGGCGUAAAGAGCUUGUAGGCGGCUCGUCGCGUCGGGUGUGAAAACUUGCGGCUUAACCGCAAGCCUGCACCCGAUACGGGCGGGCUAGAGUUCGGCAGGGGAGACUGGAAUUCCUGGUGUAGCGGUGGAAUGCGCAGAUAUCAGGAGGAACACCGGUGGCGAAGGCGGUUCUCUGGGCAUGUCCUGACGCUGAGGAGCGAAAGUGUGGGGAGCGAACAGG
rnacentral:rRNA from 1 species